GACGGAGGGUGCAAGCGUUGUUCGGAUUGACUGGGCGUAAAGGGCGUGUAGGCGGUCGGCCAAGUCUGAUGUGAAAGCCCGAGGCUCAGCCUCGGAAGUGCGUCGGAAACUAGUCGGCUGGAGCGCGAUAGAGGAGGGUGGAAUUCCUGGUGUAGCGGUGAAAUGCGUAGAUAUCAGGAGGAACAUCGGCGGCGAAGGCGGCCCUCUGGAUCGUUGCUGACGCUGAGACGCGAAAGCGUGGGGAGCAAACAGG
rnacentral:rRNA from 1 species